UAUACCUAAGUAUAUUUUUGUAUAAAAAUUUUUGGAAUUUUAGGUAAUAGUUUAAGUCUAUUAGGUAUAA
rnacentral:tRNA from 1 species